GACAGAGGCCUCGAGCGUUAGGCGGAAUCACUGGGCUUAAAGCGUGUGUAGGCGGGCCCGUAAGUGUCUUGUGAAAUCCCACGGCUCAACCGUGGAACUGCUGGGCAUACUGCGGGUCUUGGGCCAACUAGGGGCAGCCGGAACAAGCGGUGGAGCGGUGAAAUGCGUAGAUAUCGCUUGGAACGCCGAAGGUGAAAACAGGCUGCUGGGGUUGCGCCGACG
rnacentral:rRNA from 1 species